ACACAUAAUAGCAAUUCACGCUUUGAAUAAUAAAUAGGUGCAGCAAGGAAUGAAAAUUAUUAGAAGAUAGUGAGUUUAGGCAUGUGUUGUUUCAAUGGAAGAUUGUUGUUUGCAUGGUGUUCUUGUUGAUUGAUAGCAUUAAUUUGCUGGAAAACACGUUAGAUAGGUGAACUUGGAGAAAUAAUCAUGAUUGUGAAUUCUCCAAAAGACUUACCGGUUGCUGAAGUCCGAGUCCAACAUCCCUUUGAAUUAUUUCAUGUUGAAUAAAAUUGUUCUAUUGAGAAGAAGAAUCCGAAGAAUGUUGAUGAAGAAUUGGAAUUGGUGAAAGUGAAUUAUAGUGAAGGUGUAGAGAUGAAGAUCUAAGAUGAAGAUGAUGAGGGCAUUUUUGUCUAUUCUCAUGCCAUUUUGUUAAUUUGAUGACGUGACAGUAAUUAACUGGGCUCAGGGAC
rnacentral:lncRNA from 1 species